UGGUUUGUAUUUAGAUGCUAACUUUUUGAAAUGUUUGGGUACUGGAAUUUAAAUGCUCGCGUAGCAGAGUAGAGUUUGACUUCGGUGAAUUGACUCAAGCACGACUCAACAAAAUAUGGAAACAGAUAUAGCGAUCGAAAGGAAUAAUAUGGAUGAAGUCCGUCGUGCAUCAACGAUCGAGGCAUUUAAAUGAACACUGUGAUCACCCAGAAAUAAAUCUACAAUAAAAAAAUUUAAUUUUCAGUAAUUAUUGCUUUAUCUUUAUACAUGUAACAUAGAUGGGUAGCUAAAACUUCUUCGAAUAAAAUGAGUCCAAACAUGGUGCAAAUUGUACUAUUUUUAUGAAUUUCAUGUAAAUAACAAAAUUAAGAUGUACGAAUGCUUAAGUUUAUAAACUUUUCUAGACGAAACUAGUCUGCUUUUUAAAUCGCGUUUGGUCUCAUUUUUAUUGGAAGGAUUUCCGACAAUUCACUAGUACCAUAUGUAGUAUCCAAAAUUGUUUGUUACCGUGUAUAGCGUGUACGAAAGACGGAAUUCAUCCGCAUCACCUGUAUUCUUGUUUAGCUCCUUGUCGAGGAGCGGGCGCUAGAAUGAGUACGUGUAUGUGCGUGAGGAUGGGAAACGAGCGCGACGAAUGUGCGAGUACGAGUAGUGUUGCCAGGAAAUGUAUGGCGCGAGUGGAAAUCUUGGUUUGCACAUUCUUUGAUCUCCACAUCUAUGAAAUAUGUUAAUAAGCGCUAUAUUCUAAGCAAUUUUUACCUUUGAACCAAAAACCUAUUUUAAUUUCUGGGAUAUAUGCAAAAAAACUGUUGCUACUACUAUGUCGAGUUAGCGGCGGCUACUUCCUAUACUUUACAUGAUUAUUUUUUGGUAACAUAUUCAUUAUUGUUAUUUUUAAUUAAAUCUUGCUUUAAACUGACAUGUACAAUUCAUUUUUCAUAUAAAUUUUAUAAAUUGUUCUGUAUUGAUAAGACCGCAUAAACAUAAAAUCUAAAAAUUAGAUUUUAAUUAAUUAUUACUUUUGUGUUAAGUUGCCCUUGAUUCGUUUAUCAUUUUUUAAUAAUUUUUUGUGAAUUAAUUGUAAAUUCUUUGUGUAAUUAUAUUUUUGUUUAUAAGUGUUAAAAAAUAGAUCCUACAACUUAUUCAUUAUUCAAAAGUACACAUAUAUAACACCUUAGCGUAUAAUAUUAAAAAUUUGGGCGUAAAUAUAUUAUUUCAGUCAGAAAAUGUACCCCGGUCUGGCAGCUGAUAAUCAUAAGUCUCGAAGUGUUGUUAGGUUGGGAAUAAUUUUUGCUCCUUCUUGGUGGAAUUUAAUUGUUAGGCCUCGGUGUAAAUGUCUGUGUUUGGGUAACUCUUCUGGAGUAUUUUAGCCAGUUUUCCAUAUCUGCAGUCAAAGCUUGAGAACCUUCCUGAGAGUUUUCGGCUGAAAUGGUAUUAUCAGACUUCCAAUCUCUCUCCUCCGAUUCACGAUAUAUGUGGAUAUGGCAGAAUGUUCUUCCUCUUGAAUUGCAAUCUUUCUGGCCAUUAGAGUGUUAUAUUUGUAUCGAAUGUCAUAUUUGAGUUCGUCCAGUGCUUGUGUGAAUCUCAAAUUAAAGUUCAUGAUAUUCUCUGUCAUGCCUUGUCUUGUAUUCUGUAGUUUAUUUCGGGUUGACAUAACUAUACUCGAAGCAGUGACAGUGUGUCUGAGUACAUCAUAUACCUGGUCAUAGUUUUUUCUGCGGAGAUAACGUAUUGUUCUUUCGGCAUGGUCGGUUAUUUUCCCAACUAUUACACUGUUUGAUAAAAAUUUUGCCUUUCAAUAACUGCUGGAUAAUCCUUCUAGAAUCAUACUCCCUGAAAUAAGAAUCUAGGAGACAAAUUGCUGUAUCAACCCUAGUUUUCGAAAAAUACGAGCAUUUGUAAAAACCCAGAAUUCUCGACAAGAAUAUGGUAUUGCAUGAAGAGUAAAAAUAUUAGAAAAUUCAAAUUGGUUUUGAAAGAUGGAGGAGAAUUUCCCGAAUAUGGUGGCAUACAAUUUAUUAAUUGUUUCUGGUUCUAUAUAGUUAUAAAUGCAUGUCAAAGUUUAAAAAAGUGCCGACAUGCGUAGUUCCUCUGCAAUAAUUUUGUAUUUCUACGCAUAGUUAUUUGUCUAGCACGAAAAUUCUACCCUAGAUUGGAUUCUGUAAACAUUUCUAAAGAAGAAACUGUCCGAUAGAAAUGUCGGGCAGGCCGAAAAAUCGCCGGCAUCGCGCGCACGACGUUUUGCCGCCAUGCUCGUAGCUAUGCGUAAUCAACACUGAUAGAGGAAUUUAAUGUACAUCCACUUUCUAACGUUUUUACUUUUCAUGCAUACAUUAUUUUUGCCGAAAAUUCUGGGUUUUUACAAAAGUUCUUGUUUUUCGAAAUCUGGUGAUAAUACAGCAAUUCGGCUUCCGAAUUCUUGUUCGGGGAGUGAAGUUCCACAAGAAUCACCCAGUGAUUAUUGGAAGACAGCAAAAAGAUUCGUUUUCUGCCAAUAGAUCGGUAAGAAAUUAAGCAUAAGCAAUGUUCAAAGUAAUGUGGCUGGAUGACCAUAUGUGGAUAAAAACCUGGGCUUUAUAAAACUGAUAGAUGUUAUUGCAGCAUAGAUACUGAUAAGGUAGUCAUUUGAUAAUUAAUGCGCCUUCUGCAUUACUAGGUGGAUCUCCUGUGAUAUUAUCACUCUAUUUUGUCUUUGUACACGUCACCAAUUGUUCCUACUAUCUAUUUUCCUUAUAAUUAUGCUAGUAAGAACAGGAAACAUUUUUCUUCCUCUGGGUUAUUGGACCUAGGAUAGAAAGAUAAUUUGUACAGAAGGUUAUGUCAAGGUUUAUUUAAUAGAUUUAAGGUAAAUGUGUCAAAAAAGUGAUUGGACGAUUAAGGAAAGAAUUUCUAUUCUAAGUCACUUAUUAGACUAAUAAGUUUUACAUUUAUAUGUGGAUAGGUUUAUCUGGAUGGGUAGAUUGUCUAUUUUUCGAAAUACAUGUCAAAAGAAACCUUUCUAUGGAA